AAAUGGUAAGAUAAAGUUGUAGUUGAGAAACAGCUACACAGUCUUUUAUAUUCAUGAACAUAAUACUCCUGGAUGACGUUUCCCUGCGUCAUCCUUUUUUAU
rnacentral:sRNA from 1 species